AAUAAGCGCAACCAUAGGUUUUCGCGUUUAAUUUUGAUCGUAUGUUUUAUUUGAAAUUUUUUUAUAAUUAAUUUUUAUUGUUAUUAGGUUAUAAAUAUUUUGUGAUUUAUGUUUUUUAGUUUUUUUUAAAAAAAUAAAUAAGACAAACGAUUAAAGUUGGACACGAAAAUUCAUGGCUGCGCUUAUU
rfam:Oryza sativa (indica cultivar-group) chromosome 10, whole genome shotgun sequence.